rnacentral:snoRNA from 1 species
AUCCUUUUCCGCUCGUAAGCAUAGUGACUGGGGUUCAUGCUGUCAUGUGACAUGCCUCCCUCUAAGCCUUGUCAUGAUGUCAGCACAUUACUGGAGG